rnacentral:lncRNA from 1 species
CUGCAGUAAUAGAAGGGGGAUAUAAGCUUGUGCUAAGUUGGCCAGGAUAUAGAAAUAGGACAGACAAACAGAGUGGGACGAGAAAAUUCCUUCAAGAAUCACAGUUGUUGUGGAUCUCAAGGUAAGAGACUCUGGCAUUUCUGUCAAAGCAGUACAAGUUUGUAAAUAAAAGAUCAUUUUUCUGGCUAAAUAAAUUAUAUUGCACAGUUAUGACGCGUACAUUUUUC